GCCCAUGUUUUUUCUCAUAGAGUCUCUUCAAUUCCAUCUAGCUUCUCCUCCUGCUUAAUUCUAUGCCUCCCAAAAUCUUUACAUCAGAAAAACUGGAAUCUCAAAUACUUAUCUUGAGGACAGAGGCAGAGAAGAUACACUGAAACUUGUCACAAGGAAAAUACAUUUGGGGUAUUUCAAUCUUAUUUUUAGGGAAAUUGGAGGCCUGUAAUACUUGAAGAAAAUGAUCUUUUUUUUUUUUGUCAUCUGAAACAGUGCAUAUUAAUGAGGCAGAGGAUCACUUGAGAAAGUUCUUCUAGUGGGUAAACAUGAAAUUUGUUGUCCUAGCCUGUACACUUUUGGGGAGUCAAAGGCUCUGCUAUUAGCAAUGAUUUGUGGUCAACAGGCUCAAAAUGGGACUGUAUUGGAGUGCCUGCUGUGACUAGCAGAAAUGAACCCGACUAAUAUCCAUGAGGAUGCAGGUUUGAUCCUUGGCCUCACUCAGCAGAUUAAAGAUCCUGACAUUGCAUGAGCUGUCGAGGUGCAGACUCGACUUGCAUCUGCUGUGGCAAGGCCAGCAGCUGCAGCUCCUAUUCAACCCCUAGCCUGGGAACCUCCAUAUGCCAUGGGUGCAGCCCUAAAAAGCCAAAAGGAAAAGGAGUGGGGGGACUGUAUUGGGAAAGAUGGUUUAUCAGAUUACCCUACCUUUAGUGAUUGAAAAGAGGCUCGAAGCUGAUUGAAGUCAGGAAAAAUGUGUGACUUUUUCCUUGCUGCUGACAUUUUUCACUUUGUAAUAAAUAUGCUUACACUGGAUUUAGAUCUGUUUAUUCCCUAGUCUCAGGAUCCCCCCAGUUAUUUACUAUUGUUGCUAUCAUCACUUCAUUGAUUGGCAAAUUACUAUUGGACUGGCACUGUGCUGAGGACUCCAUAUUGUCUCAUUUAUACCUCACCAUAAUCCUAUAAGGUUCAAAUGGAAUGACACUGAAAGUUACUGUGGGUCCACCCUGUGUUUCAAUACAAAAUAUCACUAAAUCCUCACGAGCAGCUGAUGAGGUCCUUAUCUCCUUUAACAGAUUAGGAAAUUGAAGCACAGAGAGGUAAAUAAAAUUGCCCACAGUCACACAGCAGGCUGAGGCUGUCCAACUCUUGUUCUCUACUAACCAGUGCUCUAUCACCCAAAGCUGGAGGUGCAAAGGAAAGCAGGCAGCUGGUCUCAUAAAACUUAAUAUCUUCUGCCUUAUCUUUCUCUUUCUGUUUUCCUUUAACUUGAUGAGAAUUGUUUCCAAGGUCCACUUUUGGUGAAUUAUUUACAAAAAUGGGAUCUUAUACUUAAACAAAAAUCACAAAAGAUGUCUAAAAUGAAGUACCUGCCCUGAGGGAAUUUAUAGUUUAGCUGAGCUGAGAAACUAACCCACAUGUAAAAAACAAAGAUGUGUUGGACUUGGACUGUGUUAGUAGGCUGUUAACACAGAAGAAUUCAGAGAGAAGGUCACUUGAGUUAUUGUAGUUGUCUGUGAAAUCUCUGAAACAAAGUGGACCGUGGCAUAAGAUCUAGAAAGAUUCCUCACUGAGGUGUAAGCGUCAUUGAGUUAAUAUGAUUCUAGACCUUUAGUUCUCUUGAGAGAUUGACUUGUUUCUUUUUUUGUUUUCAACUAAGAUUUCAUUUGGACAAGAGUCCCAUGGCUGAAAUACUAAAAAUAACCAUCUUAAUUUUAUUUUUAAUAAAGAUGAGCUGGUAAGGUUAUGGACUAGAGGGACGUGAUGAUUGGAGCAGGUAGAGAGGGAAAAGGGCCCUGAAAGGGUGUAGAGAGGGUGCCAUAGGGAAACAGUUCCCUUCAAAAUGUUGUCCAGGACUGGCCAUGCUCAGCAUUAAUCGUGUGGGCCAGCCUGUCACCAAUACUAGAAGUUAAAAUUAUAGACUAUUCCAAGUGGAAUGUUCAAUAAGAAAAUUGUUUGGGCAAGAGUGGUCAAUCCAUGGCUGAAUUCAAAUGGUGUCCUGCUGACUUGACUUCCUUGGCCAUGAAGUCCUUGGUGGUGCUGGCAGUCUCACCCUAAGUGUGAAACGUCACCAGAGCAGUUCCCUCUGCAGAGCCCUGAGGACAAUUAACUGGUGUCCUUACCUAUCAAUGUGACUUUGCCUGGACUCCUGAAGAAUAUUACUUAGAGGAAUUCUUAGUGUGGUUAUGCUUAGACUUGUCUGAGGACUCUUAGAAUUUGGGAACUGUAAAAGCAUAAAUAAGAGAUUUAAGAGAAUGGCUACUGAGAGUCACCUAGUUUAAAUGCUAGUCUUCUACCUGUGAAUGUGGAGCCAAUUAUUUAACUUCUCUAUUCAUGCAACAAAUCUUUACCCUGUACCUACUAAGUGGAAGGUGUGAAAAAGAAUACCUACCUAAUAGGCCUGUUGAGAAUAUUAAACUGGAUAAUGUUCGUGAACUAUUCAGAGCCCAGUGUCUGAAACAUAAUAAUUGCUCAAUAAAUGGUAGCUAUUAUGCUAACAGGAAUAAUCAGAAGAACACUUCCACAUCAUUGUUAAAUAGCACAGUCCAUUUUUAAAUUGAAAUAACUGUAGAACACCUGCAUGCAAAGAUCUAGCCUGAAAAAUUUGGAUUUAUUGCAUACAUUUCAGGUCAAAUCUCAUUUCCUAGACCUGCAAGAGCCAAUUUAAAUUUUCCUGUGUACUGGAAUUUUGCUGAAUUCAAAUUGUUCCAAUAAUACUAAUAAUAAUUAUAUAUUUUAUGAAGCUUUAAAAAACAUUUUCACAUUCAUUAACUUUUAACUGAAUUAUGGCCAAUAGUUUGGAAAUCUCCUUGGUUUACAGAGACUUUAGUAUGUAAUAUUUGUUUUAAAUGAAUUUGGCCUGGAUCAGCAACUGAGGUAAAACAAUUAAAAUGUCCAAUUUGGGGAAAUUCUUGGUAGCUUUCCAACAUGCCAUUAGUUUUCAUAAUCAAGCUGUUAUAUGAUCUUUUUUUUUCAUUAUGCAUGAGCAAAUAGACUCCACUACACUCAAUUUGAAGCAAUUAUUAUCUGUGGCACAAUAUAAUCAAAAAGCCACUGCUAUUUGUUGAAGGAUUCUUUGUUUUCCAAGAUUAUUAAUAAAGUUAUGCCAGGAGCACGUACCAUGCUGCUUGGCACUCAGCAGCUGGCUCUGGCAAUGAGAAGAUAAAUCAGAAUUCUUGAGGCUUGUAUUUUUCAAUAUUCCUGCCAGCAUGUGUAUUGGAGAAAAUUCAUAUUAAAUAGCAUUAAUUGCCUUAAUUGGCUUCAGGUUAACAAACCCAUGGUACUGUUGAUAUGUUGUCACAGCACUGGAUUUAUUGGGGGAACUUAGAGUCUUAUUAUUCCGUGGUCCAGGCGUAACACACAGAGCAAGGCAGGCAGUUGCUUGAACUGUCAUAUGUUAUGGAAGAGUGGGGUGUGGAGGGGCUUAGAAACCCCCUCUGAUCAUCCAAGGUGAUAACUCUUCACAUAGCCAUCCAAGGUAAAUAGUUCUCUUAAGAGGGCCCAUGAAGGAGUAUCCACCUCUUUUGACUAACUGCCAGAACAAUCAGGCAAGUCUAAAUAGGGAACAGAGCUCAAGAUGCUGGAGGGUGGGAUAGUGGGUGGAGUGUCACCUCCCCACCCCCCUACCCCAGACCAUCAUGCUUCAUUGUUCUCAAGUAUCAUGGUUUGCUUUAUUUACUGAUUAGUCGAAUUAGAAACAAAAACAGUUGCUGAUUAUGCCAAAUGCAUUUAAGGAAUAAUUUUCCUGCUUAGUGGUGUUAAAAUUUCAUGUGAUUCAGGAGUGAAAGUACUAGGAUGAUAACAUUUGCCAUUUGUAGCUGCAAAUAGAGUUGAAAUUUCAACUUAGGAAGAAUCAGAGUUAUAUGUGAUCAAAUGGGGAAAACUUGCCAUCUUAGGGACAUUUGAUGGGGGAGAAAAUUGCCUGAAAGCAUGACUGGGAUAGUUCAGAUGCUCCAUAAACACUUGCCAGAGAAAUCGGUGCCUCCUCAGUGUGUGAAGGGUUUGGGGCUGAUUCUCAGGAGAUGUGGAGGAGGGUCUCAGCCUUGGUCCUACCCCUGUGUGACCUCAUAAUGGUCUUACUAGGGAGAGCUCAAGACUCUUCUUUCCUGUCUGCCUUGGGAGAAGCCUAUAGUGCACAGGGCAUGAAGGCAGAGAUUGCUUUUGUUUGGAGGUUGCACAAAUGUGGGAAAAGGAAAUGAAAAAUGAAACCAGAAAACCCCUAGAAGUGAUGGAGCAGUUUGAUGUAUUUCUCCCUUUUUUGAUGUUCUUAUUAAAUCUGAAGUUUAUAAUCACUUCCCACUCAUGCUUGUGCGCAAUUAAGAGCAUCUGCCAACGCAAGGAAGAAAAAAAUAAAAGUGAGUAAUGAAAUCGAUGACAGAGCAGGGACUUGUUCAUGUUUUUUAAUCUGUAGAUUUAGAAACACACUCUUGAUCAUUAAAAGCAGAAGUUAUGUUUUAUGUUCAACUAUAGUUUUUAAAUAUUAAAGUAAAAAUUUUAAAAACAUAGGUAGAGAUUCUUUCUGUCCCUGAUAAAAGGCUUUCUCACUAUGUCAAUUGGUUUGAAAGUAGCACAGGAUGACAUCAUUCUGAAGGAAAUGAUUUUUAAUGUACUCACAUUGCAGUUCAAUCUCUUUGGAUACUGUGCUUAGUGGAAUAUACUUAUAAAAUGUAAAUGCAUUGAGUUUUUUAUUCAUUCAACAAAAAUCUAUUAAGCAGUCAUUAUCUACUGGGCAUGGAACUGGGCCCUCAAGAUACAAAGAUGAUAAAAGGUCAUGAUUCCUGCCUCAGGGUGGCUCUUGGUUUAUGGGUAUCCUAUAUAAGUUAGAAUGCUUUUGGUUACAAGUAACAUCUUUAACCUACUUAAAAGGCAUUGGGAUGUAUAAUAGAAAAGCCAGGCAUAGAGUGGGCUUCAUGGUGGGCUGACUCAGUGGCCCAGCAAUGUCAUUAAGAAUUCAUGUCCUUUCUGGCUUUUCAUUCCGCACAACACACAAUAAGUCCAUUUCAUCCUCUGACUGGUUAUACUAAUGCUCAUAGGUGCCUGCCAGUAGCAUUCAUGUUUUCAUGCAAGGGUAGGGGGAAGGAAAUAGUCCCCUUUGGUUCAUAAUAAUAAUGAAAUUCCAGGAGUUCCUGUUGUGGCUCAGCAGAUUACAAACCUAACUAGUAUCCAUGAGGAUGUGGGUUCAAUCCUUGGCCUCACUCCAUGGGUUAAGGAUCCGACAUUGCUGUGAGCUCUUGCAUAGGUUGCAGACACAGCUCAGAUCUGUGGCAUAGGCUGACAGCUGCAGCUCUAAUUUGACCCUUAGCCUGGGAUCUUCCAUAUGCCACAGGUGUGGCCCUAAAAAGAAAAG
rnacentral:lncRNA from 1 species